AAUGGCUUGUAAAGUCUGGUGUCAUGUGAAGGUAAAGGAUGGUGGUGGAUGAGAUAUUGAGAAAUGAGAUGGAUGGCAAAGAAGGGGUAAAUUGAUUGUAAAGGCAGGGAACCUUGAGGUCCCCCUGCUCAGUCCUGCCUGAGGGAGGGGGAAUCUAACAUAUGCCAUAUAUAAGCUGCUCUCUGUGAAGCAUGCCUGCUACUCCAGGGGAUCAGAGAGCAAGGAGAAACUUUUUAAAGCAUUGAUAGCUUCUAAGAUGCUAAUGGUUUAAUAAGGCUGAAGAGAAGAACCCGCUGGAAACUUUAUGUGUAUCCUGAUAGGAAAUGGAGGGGAGAACAUCCCUGGAGGCACUUUGAUGUCAGCAGGUGUCUCUCACAUUCAGAAAGGAUCUCUGCUGAAGACCAGGAAAUGCAAGAUGAUUUGAAAGAACCCA
ensembl:lncRNA